rnacentral:tRNA from 1 species
GAGGGUGUAGCUCAAGUGGUAGAGCGCAUGCUUAGCAUGCAUGAGGUCCUGGGUUCAAUCCCCAGUUCCUCCU